GAUGAACGCUGGCGGCGUGCCUAAUACAUGCAAGUCGAGCGAACGGACGAGAAGCUUGCUUCUCUGAUGUUAGCGGCGGACGGGUGAGUAACACGUGGAUACCCUACCUAUAAGACUGGGAUAACUUCGGGAAACCGGAGCUAAUACCGGAUGAUAUUUUGAACCGCAUGGUUCAAAAGUGAAAGACGGUCUUGCUGUCACUUAUAGAUGGAUCCGCGCUGCAUUAGCUAGUUGGUAAGGUAACGGCUUACCAAGGCAACGAUGCAUAGCCGACCUGAGAGGGGGAUCGGCCACACUGGAACUGAGACACGGUCCAGACUCCUACGGGAGGCAGCAGUAGGGAAUCUUCCGCAAUGGGCGAAAGCAUGACGGAGCAACGCCGCGUGAGUGAUGAAGGUGUUCGGAUCGUAAAACUGUGUUAUUAGGGAAGAACAUAUGUGUAAGUAACUGUGCACAUCUUGACGGUACCUAAUCAGAAAGCCACGGCUAACUACGUG
rnacentral:rRNA from 1 species